UACGGAGGGUGCAAGCAUUAAUCGGAAUUAUUGGGCGUAAAGGGCGCGUAGGCGGCAAAACAAGUCAGAUGUGAAAUUCCGGAGCUCAACUUCGGAGCUGCAUUUGAAACUGUAUUGCUAGAGGGAUGGCGGAGAGAAUGGAAUUCCACGUGUAGCGGUGAAAUGCGUAGAUAUGUGGAAGAACACCAGUGGCGAAAGCGGUUUUCUAGCUAUAACCUGACGCUGAGGCGCGAGAGCAAGGGGAGCAAACAGG
rnacentral:rRNA from 1 species